rnacentral:misc_RNA from 1 species
GAUGAAGAACGUAGCGAAAUGCGAUAAGUAAUGCGAAUUGCAGAAUUCCAGUGAGUCAUCGAAUCUUUGAACGCACAUUGCGCCCUUUGGUAUUCCGAAGGGCAUGCCUGUUCGAGCGUCAUUAUCACCCCUCAAGCCCUCGGCUUGGUGUUGGACGGUUUGGUGGAGGCCCCCUCGGGGGCUCCUGCCCCUCCCAAAGACAAUGACGGCGGCCUCGUUGGACCCCCGGUACGCUGAGUUCUUCACGGGACACGUAUCGGACACAUGGGUUUACGGGACACGGUCUGCCUCCCCUCAGGGAGAAUCUUUCUAAGGUUGACCUCGGAUCAGGUAGGGAUACCCGCUGAACUUAAGCAUAUCAAUAAGCGGAGGA